rnacentral:rRNA from 1 species
CCAAGGAGUCUAACAUGUGCGCGAGUCAUGGGGCUCUACGAAACCUAAAGGCGCAAUGAAAGUGAAGGCUGCUUCCGGUGGCUGAGGUGAGAUCCUGGCCCGCGGGCUUGGCGCAUCACCGGCCCGUCUCGUCCGCAUUGUCGGUGAGGCGGAGCAAGAGCGUACACGUUGGGACCCGAAAGAUGGUGAACUAUGCCUGAGUAGGACGAAGCCAGAGGAAACUCUGGUGGAAGUCCGUAGCGAUUCUGACGUGCAAAUCGAUCGUCAAACUUGGGUAUAGGGGCGAAAGACUAAUCGAACCGUCUA